GCUCAGCCUGACUCGUCAGUAGCACCAGCAGAAAGCAGUAGCUAAAAAGAGAAGAAUGAGGACUAUAACAAGUUCCCAUGUUUCUUCAUCUAACUUUAUCACUGAAUUGAGAGAGCCAAUUUAAAAGUAUGAAAAGCUUAUGCACGGAAUGCACUUUCAACAAAAAUGCGACAAGCGAAGGACAG